UUAGAACAAGGUGGAUACGGUCGAUAUGGAGCAUAACAUUUAGGGCAUGUGCACCAUUGAGGACAUUGUUGGAUCGGUGGUGUAGGAGGCUUCUCAGGAGGUGUAGGAGGCUUCUUAGGAGGUGUAGGAGGCGUACAACCAUUACACUUCUUGUUGUCACAAUUGGAGCAAUUACAUUUACACUUACCAUCACACUUUGAAUCUUCACAUUUAAAGCAAAU
rnacentral:lncRNA from 1 species